rnacentral:rRNA from 1 species
GAUGAACGCUGGCGGCAUGCCUAACACAUGCAAGUCGAUCGGUAAGGCUCUUCGGAGUACACGAGAGGCGGACGGCUGAGUAACGCGUAGGAACACACCCUACAGUGAGGGAUAAGACACCGAAAGGUGUUCUAAUACCGCAUACGGUCUUCGGAUUAAAGCAUUUAUGCACUGAAGGAGUGGCCUGCGUCAUAUUAGAUAGUUGGUGAGGUAAUGGCUCACCAAGUCGAUGAUGUGUAGCUGGUCUGAGAGGAUGAUCAGCCAGACUGGAACUGAGACACGGUCCAGACUCCUACGGGAGGCAGCAGUGAGGAAUAUUUCACAAUGAGCGAAAGCUUGAUGGAGCAAUGCCGCGUGCAGGAUGAAGGCCCUCGGGUUGUAAACUGCUUUUAUAAGAGAAGAUUAUGACGGUAACUUAUGAAUAAGGGACGGCUAACUACGUG